rnacentral:rRNA from 1 species
AGUGAACGCUGGCGGUAGGCCUAACACAUGCAAGUCGAACGGCAGCACAGUAAGAGCUUGCUCUUACGGGUGGCGAGUGGCGGACGGGUGAGGAAUACAUCGGAAUCUACUUUUUCGUGGGGGAUAACGUAGGGACACUUACGCUAAUACCGCAUACGACCUACGGGUGAAAGCAGGGGAUCUUCGGACCUUGCGCGAUUGAAUGAGCCGAUGUCGGAUUAGCUAGUUGGCGGGGUAAAGGCCCACCAAGGCGACGAUCCGUAGCUGGUCUGAGAGGAUGAUCAGCCACACUGGAACUGAGACACGGUCCAGACUCCUACGGGAGGCAGCAGUGGGGAAUAUUGGACAAUGGGCGCAAGCCUGAUCCAGCCAUACCGCGUGGGUGAAGAAGGCCUUCGGGUUGUAAAGCCCUUUUGUUGGGAAAGAAAAGCAGCAGGUUAAUACCCCGCUGUUCUGACGGUACCCAAAGAAUAAGCACCGGCUAACUUCGU